UACGUAGGGUGCAAGCGUUAAUCGGAAUUACUGGGCGUAAAGCGUGCGCAGGCGGUUUGGUAAGUCAGAUGUGAAAUCCCCGGGCUUAACCUGGGAAUUGCAUUUGUGACUGCCCGGCUAGAGUGUGUCAGAGGGGGGUAGAAUUCCACGUGUAGCAGUGAAAUGCGUAGAGAUGUGGAGGAAUACCGAUGGCGAAGGCAGCCCCCUGGGAUAACACUGACGCUCAUGCACGAAAGCGUGGGGAGCAAACAGG
rnacentral:rRNA from 1 species